CCUACGGGUGGCAGCAGUGGGGGAUAUUGCACAAUGGGCGAAAGCCUGAUGCAGCGACGCCGCGUGAGGGAAGACGGUCUUCGGAUUGUAAACCUCUGUCUUUGGGGAGGAAGUCAGACGGUACCCAAACAGGAAGCUCCGGCUAACUACGUGCCAGCAGCCUCGGUAAUACGUAGGGAGCGAGCGUUGUCCGGAAUUACGGGGUGGAAAGGGAGCGUAGGGGGGCUUGUAAGUUGAAUGGCAAUUCCACCGGGUCAACCGGUGAUCGCGUUCAAAACUGGAGGUCUUGAGUGAAGUAGAGGCAGGCGGAAUUCCUAGUGUAGCGGUGAAAUGCGUAGAGAUUAGGAGGAACACCAGUGGCGAAGGCGGCCUGCUGGGCUUUAACUGACGCUGAGGCUCGAAAGCGUGGGGAGCAAACAGGAUUAGAUACCCGAGUAGUC
rnacentral:rRNA from 1 species